rnacentral:lncRNA from 1 species
GAAUUUUGGCCCUUUUUAAUUUUACAAAAUAAUCUAUAGUGAAGAAAUUUAGUGUGUCCAACUCCUCAUACACUUUUUGAAGAAAUGGAUUCAAAGACGCUUAAAUACACAACCUUAUCUGAAUACAACUUGCUUCAAACUUUUUGUCGAACAUUUACAAGAUCGUGCAGUAUGUACGGGCAUCCGUGUCCUAUGGACACAAUGCUAGUUUGCCCUCUAGAGCUAUUUUCCUUGCUAUAAUUCUGUUUUUGUCUAAAAUCACAUGACAGAUAUAUGCUUGGCAUUUAGAUAGCAUCAUCAUAAUGAAAUAAUGGUAUUACAGAAUUACAGACUGAAAUACUGUUGAAAAACGGCGUUAAACCCAAAACAAACAAACAAACAAACAAAUAUUCACAUGAACGUCUAAAAAUAAAGACAACCGCACGAUUACUUUUUUCUAAGAAUAUAUUUUCCUAAACUUACUUUCGGUUUCGUUAAAAAUUAAAUAAGAUAAAACUGUACUAUAAAAACCUUAAAAACAGCAAGACACUGAUACUAUUUUAAAUGGGAAAUUCUGGUGGACGUGGGCGUACUUGUUUGUCUGAUGAGGGCGGCGGUGGUGGCGGAGUCGGCAGAGGCGGAUGUUGUACUGGUGGUUCGGGAGGCGCUGGUGAUAGUGGUGAAACAUGGCGCUCAGAAUUUUAUGAACAUAAAUUUUCUACCAGAGUUAACAAUUCAAUACAAACAAGUACCUGGAACUGCAGAAGACCUUUGUGGUGAAAUAUUGACAGUGACAGAAACUACGUGUUAGAUAAUAAACAGUUCCAAAAGUAAAACUUUUGAAUUUUAUUGUGAUUUCAUAUUGAAAAACUUCACUUGAAAGUGUAUUGCACUGACACUCAACACCGACUAACAUUUUCCCAAAUGAUGAUUGGUAUUUAUAGAACAAAUAUGUACCCUUAAGAUAAUAAAUUGAAAUAAAAUCCGAAUAUGAAGUAAUCAUUUUAGAUUGAAAAUCACUUCUAUAAGAUAAAGAUAACAUCAUUUGACAGAAAUUCUGAUUGUUUUGUAUCAAAUGAGCUUAAUAGAAUGUACAGACUUAUAUAUCUUAAGCCGAUCUGAAUCUAUAUAUAUAUAUUGUCAGUCAUUAUGAAAUGAACAAUGAACAUAAAUCGAAUGUAUAUAUA